rnacentral:lncRNA from 1 species
UGCUUCGUGUUGGAACUUGUGAAGCUUGGUGAUCAGAGUCAGAGGGAUGCUUGGAUCCUCUGACCUUCGUAACUUCUGCUUCUGGACCUUCAGAGCUUCUGAACCUUCAGAGCCUCUGGUCCCUCAGAGCUUCUGGUCUUCAGAUCUUCUGAUCCUCAGAUCUUCUGAUCCUCUGAUCUUCUGAUCCUCUGAUCCUCUGAUCUUCAGAUCCUCUGAUCUUCAGAUCCUCUGAUCCUCUGAUCUUCUGAUCCUCUGAUCCUCUGAUCCUCAGAUCCUCUGAUCUUCAGAUCCUCUGAUCCUCAGAUCUUCUGAUCUUCAGAACUUCUGACGAAUAUAUCUUCUGGUGUCAGAAUCAGAACCUGUUUGUCAAAACACUCAAGACAAACAUUAGAGUAUCAUAGUUGUUCAUCCACAAAUAAAUACUUGUUAUCAUCAAAACAUAGAGUUGUACCACAUGACCAAAUCUUGAUCUUACAA